rnacentral:rRNA from 1 species
GCCAAACAGCUAGCUCAAUUACCCAAUAACUAAACAAUAUAAAUAAAACAAAAUAAGCCUAACACCAAAAAUUAAAUCAUUCUUUUACCUUAGUAUGGGCGACAGAAAAGGUUACACCUGGAGCAAUAGAAAAAGUACCGCAAGGGAAAGCUGAAAGAGAAAUGAAAUAACUUAUAUAAGCACCAAAAAGCAAAGAUUAAAUCUUGUACCUUUCGCAUCAUGAUUUAGCCAGUAUAUCCAAGCAAAGAGACCUUUAGUUUGAAACCCCGAAACCAAGUGAGCUACCCCGAGACAGCCUAUUAAGGGCCAACCCGUCUCUGUGGCAAAAGAGUGGGAAGAGCUCCGGGUAGAGGUGACAGACCUACCGAACUUGGUGAUAGCUGGUUGCCUAAGAAGUGAAUAGAAGUUCAGCCUCGUACUCCCUGAAUCAAAAGAUAUAAAAAGAUAUUAGAGGGAAAUAUAUGAGAGUUAGUUAAAGGGGGUACAGCCCCUUUAACAAAGGACACAACCUUUCCAGGAGGAUAAAGAUCAUAAUACAUAAGACAUCCUGUUCUAGUGGGCCUAAAGGCAGCCAUCUAAACAGAAAGCGUUAAAGCUCAGACAGAAAUAAGUUUAUUAUUCCGACAAGAAAUCUUACUCCCCUAAAUAUUAUUAGGCCAGCCCAUGCCCACAUGGGAGAGACUAUGCUAAAAUGAGUAACAAGAAGGCCAGCCCUUCUCCAAGCACAAGUGUAAGCCAAACCGGACCGACCAUUGGCAAUUAACGAACUCAACCCGAGAGAGUAAUGUGUAUUACAACGAAACCAGGAAGAACCCACAAUUAACCCAUCGUUACCCCCACACUGGCGUGCUAUUAAAGGAAAGACUAAAAGAAGGGAAAGGAACUCGGCAAACACAAGCCUCGCCUGUUUACCAAAAACAUCGCCUCCUGCAACACAACCAAGUAUAGGAGGUCCAGCCUGCCCAGUGACUACAAGUUCAACGGCCGCGGUAUUUUGACCGUGCAAAGGUAGCGCAAUCACUUGUCUCUUAAAUGGAGACCUGUAUGAAUGGCUAAACGAGGGCUUAACUGUCUCCCCCCUCCAGUCAGUGAAAUUGAUCUACCCGUGCAGAAGCGGG